UUUAGAGAUGAGGGUCUCAUCCUUUUGCCCAGGCUGGAGUACAGUGGUGUGUAUGUAGCACACUGCAGCCUUCAACUCCUGAUCCUCCAACCUCAGCCUCCACAGUUGCUGGGAUUACAAGUUCAAGUUGGUGUGUAUCUGCAAAGGCGAUGGAAAGGAGUUCUUACAUAUGCAUAUUCUGAAGAAGGAUGUUACCCUUACUGAAAAACUUAUUCCAAGAUAUGUUUAAUCAAUCAUGAG
rnacentral:lncRNA from 1 species